rnacentral:rRNA from 1 species
AGCAGCCGCGGUAAUUCCAGCUCCAAUAGCGUAUAUUAAAGUUGUUGCAGUUAAAAAGCUCGUAGUUGAAUUUCGGGAUCAAGUCGUCGGUCGUGCCUCGGUACGCACUGGUGACAUUGGUUUCUCCCUUCUGAAGAACCUUGAUGUCAUUAAUUUGGUGUCUUGGGGAAUCAGGACUGUUACUUUGAAAAAAUUAGAGUGUUUAAAGCAGGCUCACGCUUGAAUACAUUAGCAUGGAAUAAUGAAAUAGGACGUUUGAUUCUAUUUUGUUGGUUUCUAGGAUCGACGUAAUGAUUAAUAGGGAUAGUUGGGGGCAUUAGUAUUCAAUUGUCAGAGGUGAAAUUCUUGGAUUUAUUGAAGACUAACUACUGCGAAAGCAUUUGCCAAGGAUGUUUUCAUUAAUCAAGAACGAAAGUUAGGGGAUCGAAGACGAUCAGAUACCGUCGUAGUCUUAACUAUAAACUAUGCCGACUAGGGAUCGGAUGAUGUUAAUUUUUAAUGACUCAUUCGGCGCCUUACG